GGGGGUGUAGCUCAGCUGGUAGAGCGCUUGCCUUGCACGCAUGAAGCCAUGCGUCUGAACCCCUG
rnacentral:tRNA from 1 species